UACGGGGGGGGCAAGCGUUGUUCGGAAUUACUGGGCGUAAAGGGCGCGUAGGCGGCCACCGCAAGUCAAUUGUGAAAUCUCCGGGCUCAACCCGGAAAGGUCAACUGAUACUGCGGGGCUAGAGUGCAGAAGGGGCAACUGGAAUUCUCGGUGUAGCGGUGAAAUGCGUAGAUACCGAGAGGAACACCUGCGGCGAAGGCGGGUUGCUGGGCUGACACUGACGCUGACAGCGCGAAAGCUAGGGGAGCGAACGGG
rnacentral:rRNA from 1 species